rnacentral:lncRNA from 1 species
UAUUUGUGACAUAAGGGUGACGUAUGUCAUCCCUCCCAAAUCCCAUUUUGCUCCUUUUCCACCUUUUCCCCUUGUUUUCCCUCCUUUUUCUCCCCUUUUCUAUUUUCUCUUUUUCUUUUUUCUUUUAUUUAUUUUAAUAUUUAUUUCCUCUUCUUUUAUCUAUUAUAUCAAUUUUGAAAACCCCAAAAAAUAUUUUAUUUAUUUAUUUUCUUUUCUAUAUUUUCAUAUCUAAAAAUAAUAUUUAUUUUGUUAUUUAGUUUUUAAUUUUAUAUUAAAAAAUCCAAAAAUUAUUAUUUAUUCCUUUUUAUUUUUCAUUUAACUGUGCUUUGAUUCAAUUUUCCCAUGAUUAAUUU